rnacentral:rRNA from 1 species
AGCACGGGGAGCUUGCUCCCUGGUGGCGAGCGGCGGACGGGUGAGUAAUGCAUAGGAAUCUGCCCGGUAGUGGGGGAUAACCUGGGGAAACCCAGGCUAAUACCGCAUACGUCCUACGGGAGAAAGCAGGGGCUCUUCGGACCUUGCGCUAUCGGAUGAGCCUAUGUCGGAUUAGCUGGUUGGUGAGGUAAUGGCUCACCAAGGCGACGAUCAUUCCCGGUGUAGCGGCGUAGCUGGUCUGAGAGGAUGAUCAGCCACACUGGGACUGAGACACGGCCCAGACUCCUACGGGAGGCAGCAGUGGGGAAUAUUGGACAAUGGGCGCAAGCCUGAUCCAGCCAUGCCGCGUGUGUGAAGAAGGCCCUCGGGUUGUAAAGCACUUUCAGCGAGGAAGAAGGCUUGGCGGCUAAUACCCGUCAAGAAGGACAUCACUCGCAGAAGAAGCACCGGCUAACUCCGUGCCAGCAGCCGCGGUAAUACGGAGGGUGCGAGCGUUAAUCGGAAUUACUGGGCGUAAAGCGCGCGUAGGUGGUUUGGCACGCCGGUUGUGAAAGCCCCGGGCUCAACCUGGGAACGGCAUCCGGAACGGCCAGACUAGAGUGCAGGAGAGGAAGGUAGAAUUCCCGGUGUAGCGGUGAAAUGCGUAGAGAUCGGGAGGAAUACCAGUGGCGAAGGCGGUCUUCUGGCCUGACACUGACACUGAGGUGCGAAAGCGUGGGUAGCAAACAGGAUUAGAUACCCUGGUAGUCCACGCCGUAAACGAUGUCGACUAGCCGUUGGGACCUUUAAGGACUUAGUGGCGCAGUUAACGCGAUAAGUCGACCGCCUGGGGAGUACGGCCGCAAGGUUAAAACUCAAAUGAAUUGACGGGGGCCCGCACAAGCGGUGGAGCAUGUGGUUUAAUUCGAUGCAACGCGAAGAACCUUACCUACCCUUGACAUCCAGAGAACUUGGCAGAGAUGCCUUGGUGCCUUCGGGAACUCUGAGACAGGUGCUGCAUGGCUGUCGUCAGCUCGUGUUGUGAAAUGUUGGGUUAAGUCCCGUAACGAGCGCAACCCUUGUCCUUAUUUGCCAGCACGUAAUGGUGGGAACUCUAAGGAGACUGCCGGUGACAAACCGGAGGAAGGUGGGGACGACGUCAAGUCAUCAUGGCCCUUACGGGUAGGGCUACACACGUGCUACAAUGGCCGGUACAAAGGGUUGCGAGACCGCGAGGUGGAGCGAAUCCCAGAAAGCCGGCCUCAGUCCGGAUCGGAGUCUGCAACUCGACUCCGUGAAGUCGGAAUCGCUAGUAAUCGUGAAUCAGAAUGUCACGGUGAAUACGUUCCCGGGCCUUGUACACACCGCCCGUCACACCAUGGGAGUGGACUGCACCAGAAGUGGUUAGCUUAACCUUCGGGGGAGCGAUCACCACGGUGUGGGUUCAUGACUGGGGGUGAAGUCGUAACAA